rnacentral:lncRNA from 1 species
CAAAAGGGAAGUCAUCUUCCGUUGGUCUAUGGGGACCCUGAGGUAGUAGGAGCUCGGUGAUAAUUCUAGGGACCACCCUGGGUUGUCAGGUGGGGGAGACAGAGAAGCCCACAUAGGAGGCACCAAAUGCAACUCACUCGUGCCCUUUUACUCAUGAGAGAACACGGAUCCAGAGAUGUCAAGUGACUCAGACACAGUCUCACAGCACACAGGCGGCAGAGGCAGGUAGGGGACUGGGCUUCCCUGGCAGCAGUCCCCAAGCCUGCCUGAGAGGCACAUCAGAAUCGCUUUAGGGGAUUUGCAAAACCACACCUGCCCAGGCCCAAACCCUAGAGAUUCUGAUUCCGCAGUCUGAGGUAGGAAUGGAGAAUCCUCCACAGCCUGAGGUAGGAACUGGGAAUCCAGUGUUUAAAACUCUCUAGGGGCGGUGAUUUCAGAAAACCUGCUGGCUCCAUCACACUUUGCUCAGGGACUGAGAUGGGAUGGCAUUUGGAAGACACAGCUGAAAUUUAGCAUCAUAUUCCAUGGCGAUUUUCCACCAGUGGAAAUCACAGGUGUUCUCUGGUAUCACAGCGGGGUCAGGGAUGACCUGAAAUAUUGUUCAUGCUCAUCACAACUGCAUGGCCCACCGCGGGGUCUUGUCACUCAGUGAGUUCUUGAAGAGGCACAGACAAAUGGAGUUCAACAAAUGGAAAACAACUGCCUUUAAUUAGCUCCGAGGACUACAAAGGGAACAACGUUAUAAUAGCAGCAACUCCAAGGAAGCAGCCACAGCUCUCAGCUCUCAGACCUGGGGCUGCCGCUCAUCAUCAGCUACAGCUAGGUUUGAUGGGAGUGCCCCCAUUUCAGGGGACAGCAGGCCCCCUUCACUCCCCGACUCAGUCCCCAUCUGCAGCAGCACAGCCUUCCUUGGCCUCACCAGGGAAGAAGAACAGGCCCCGCUCUCAGACAAGCCUUCCCAGAAGCCUGAGGACUCAAACACCCAAAUGUGUCUGGGUCCCUGCCCCGAGCCGGCCACCCAGGCAGCAGCCCUGAAUCACUCGGUCAGCCAGCGGCAGGGCAGGCCAAUGGGCUGGAGGGUAGGCAGGCAGGCAGACCCACCUCUGCAUCUCUGCUGACUGCCUCGGCUGAGGAAAGGCAGCACCAGCCCCCAACCCUGAAGUUCUAGAUCUCAUGCAGCCUCUCUGUUCUGGAACCAUCCAGAGGCACUGCCCUUAUACAUGGUCCACCCCCAGGCUCAGACAAUGAGAAUUCCACAAGCAGAGGGGACUCUAUUUGGGGCACAGAGAGGUUAAGUAACUCCCCUCCUAAGGUCUCUCAGCAAGGAAGCCACUGAGCCGUGGGACUUGAGCUCAGGGACUCUUGAUCCCCAGUCUCAGGUGUCACAGCCCCAUCUGGGCUCCUGCUAGGGAGGAGGAAGGCAGCAGGGGGUGUCUGAGGCCAGGGUGCAUCAGCCCUAAAUGCCAGACAGAGGCAGGAGAAGUCUCCCCAUGAGUCCCAGCCCCAUUAGAGGCUCCAGGUCGGGGAUCCCAGACCCCCUAUCCUUGCUGGGAGACACAACCCAGAACUCUGCAUCCCUGCAGCCACCAAAAAAGGCAAAAGCUGCCCAGAAACACUUUCUCCUCUUCCGUGGCCAAAUCCACGAACUUUCUCGAGGUCUGUCCCCCUGCCCCGUGCAGGUCCAGCUUCAGUGCAGCCCAGCUCUGUGCAGUUUUCCACAAAAGCCUGUGGCUUCCUUCUCCUCCCUCUGCUUCUGAUACCCCAGGAGUUACACACAAAAUGUUGGCGGUGGUCUCCAGGAAGACCCCUGCAUCCCACAGCUCUCCCCAGAAGUUGCCAGCAGUGACCUCCUGAGCCCAGGUGGGGAGUCCCAGGCAGGACAGGGGCUGGGGCUGCAGGCCCUGGGGCCCUGUUAGUGAAGCAGCAAGCCGAGGGUCCCUGAGAGUUUCCCUUGGCCCCUCUGAGGGCUGCCCUUUGAGGUCUUGAGGUCUUGGAGUAUCCAUCGCCCCCACGGCUUACUGUCCCCACCAGCGGAGGAUGAAAGUGCCACAGCGAUGUUCCACGCCAAGAGACCACAGAGACCACCAACCCCUCUUCCCACCUCAGGCUUUCAGAGGCCAGCGGAUUUAGGCGGACAGGCUGUGCGCUUGAGGGCAGCCAGGGCGGUCAGUGGAGGGACGUGGUCCGGGGCCUGGCCACAGCUCCCCACCCAGGGCCCUGGGCUAUUGUUACUCACCGCGGAUGAAGGUCGGCGAGUAGGUCGGGAAGGAGUCGAAGAUGCUGUUCGAUGCCAUGCCCCGCUCUGAAGAAGGCGAGAAUUUUCAGCCCUUCAGGGGGUUGGGUUGGGAUUCACUUGGUUGGCUGUUGUUUUAUUUUUUUUUCCUCUAGCUACUUUUGAAAAUAAAAGGGGGGGGUGUUGCUUUUUGUU